CCUACGGGUGGCAGCAGUGAGGAAUAUUGGUCAAUGGCCGAGAGGCUGAACCAGCCAAGUCGCGUGAGGGAAGACGGCCCUACGGGUUGUAAACCUCUUUUGUCGGGGAGCAAAGCGAGUCACGUGUGACUCAUUGAGAGUACCCGAAGAAAAAGCAUCGGCAAACUCCGUUCCAGCAGCCGCGGUAAUACGGAGGAUGCGAGCGUUAUCCGGAUUUAUUGGGUUUAAAGGGAGCGUAGGCCGCAUGUCAAGCGUGCUGUGAAAUGUCCGGGCUCAACCCCGGCGAGCCGUUGAAACUGGCUGUCUUGAGAUGUCGAGAGGUAUGCGGAAUGCGCAGUGUAGCGGUGAAAUGCUUAGAUAUUGCGCAGAACUCCGAUGGCGAAGGCAGCAUACCGGCGGCGAUCUGACGCUGAGGCACGAAAGCGUGGGUAUCGAACAGGAUUAGAUACCCGGGUAGUC
rnacentral:rRNA from 1 species